CAAUAUUACCUUAACCUCUGAGAACAAUGGUCAAAUAUUGACAGAGAGUACAAGCUGCCUAAUGGUGUCUUUGGCACUCCCCAUCAAACUACCCGGUCAAAGCAACUCUCUCUCUCCCUCUGCAAGAGAGAAAUAAGAGAUAUCAAUAUUCUGCAGGGGGAAGGCCAUUAACAGCCCUGUCUGGAAUGCAUGACUUGACUUCUGUUUGUGCGAAGGAUUCUCAUACAUGACUACAAUCCUCAGGAAUUCUGAAAUGGCAUCCCAGGAACAAAGCCAUAAUCAUAAAUACUCGAGGGCCCAACCCGGUUUCUCUCUGAUUUGAAUAGCAACGUCAGCAUGCAACUGGAUUGUGCUCUAAAGGCUCCAGGCAGUAAGAUUCGUGAAAUCUAACUUUCAAACCGACAAGGCUGGCCAUGCAGUUAGCUUUCAAGUUUCGCAGAGUUCUUCGUCGGGUUAAAUGGAGGUUUUCAAGGACUGGUUUGCUUGUGGAGGAAUUUAGCAAUUGUACAGGGGAGCCAAGUCCCAGACGUAUAGCCACCAAAUCAUACCGUGGGUGGGUUGGAUAUGCUUUGAUUCUAAUACAUUUGCAUUGUCUCUAAAGGUGUUGUGUAAUGCACAGCUUCCAGUUUUUCGUGGUGCUGAAAUUUAUUUGGACCUGUUCGUAGCAGCCAGUCAGAGGAGCAUCUUGGCUUUCAAAGCAGUUCAGGCUUUGUAAAGCAAAUAAGCACGGAUGACAGAACAGAGGCUUCUGCCACAGGCUGAUGGUGCCAGGUAUUGGCCAGUGAUCUUUGGCAUAAGAAUGCGAGUAUUGAUUUGAUCGAGCUAUCAAAGCCUAUACAAAUUGACCAAAGAAUUAUAACAGUCCUGCGUGAUCCAUCCAUUGGCCCCCUCUGGAAAAGCUUUGCUUUUAAAAACACCAACAGAUGUUAGUGCCUAUGGGGAGGGGGGAAUCCACUUUCCCUUUUAUGCACUAUUAGCAACAUUUGGUCACCCGUGCAUUUGGUCCCAUCUGAGGCAGAUACCACAACACUAAUCCUUCUUCCAGUUAAUCCCCCAUUUUAACCCACAUCUUUAAGCUUUCCCCCCUUUUCUUUCUUCUUUUAAAAUUCUCGUCUGAAGUGUGCUAAGUGUUUUCUUCCCAGGAAAAACUCUGCUCGAUUUGAGAACGAUCAUAUUGUUAUAGGUUGGGGGGGGGAACCCCCCAAACCCUAGAAAUUAAUAAAUGGUAGGAUUUUGAUUAUUUGGGAUGUGAAGGGAGAAAUGCCAGCUGCAGAGGAAUUCUGGGCUCACUUGUGCAAAGGGACCUGGCCAAGCUAGGGCCAUUAAGAAACAAUACAGGGCCACUGAGGGCCAUUAGCAAAGCAAGAGAACUGUCCUCCUUCCCUUUGCCCUGAAGUGUCAACAGAGAGUUGGGGUUUGGAAGGUUGGCAGGGUAACUGGGUGUAAGAUGACAAGAAAAUAGUUUUUAGCAAGGUGCUCCAGGAAGGAGAAGGGGGAAGAAAGACUGGAAUCCAUCUUGGGCAGGCUGGCUGAAGGCUGGCUGCGUUGCUGUGAGGGACAAGCCCAUCUUGAAAUGACCAUGCCAUAAGAUCUGGACCAUGCAGACUGAAGGUGUAAACAGGUAAAUAAACCAUACUUCUUAAAUCUAUGACAGUCUCCACUGUGUCUCAAUCAUCCAAGGAACGCAGACCCUGGGUGAGUGCCUGGAACCCCCAGGAAUCUUGCAGAGAGUUGGGGGUAGCACACAUUUUUUGUAAUAAUAUGUUAGGCAUCAAGGAUAAGGUGGCAGGCAAUUAGAAGAGGCAGUUUGUUAGACUGGUGUUCCAUCAUCAAAGAUAAUCUAACUUGCUAUCAAGCCCAGGCCGGACCCAGACUCCUUGGAGGAUGAAUCAAAUGAAAGCUCCCCUUGACCAAAGUCUUGGGGGAACAGGCAGGGUCCCCAUCGCUAACCCUGAAAACCUCUAGGGAGUGCCACCCCAGGGCCACUUCCAGAAGAUCUUUUCAGUGGACCCUUGGUGUGGGUUCCAACACAAGUGUCAGCAGAUGAGCCCCUGGUGGAGUCAGAGACACAGUCAUGUCCCUUCCCCUAAAGGCCUAAGCCCAGGCCAUAGCCCACAGCAAAGUAUAAGCCUGAGAGCCCCAAGGCUAGCAGAUUAGACAUGGCUUGGGAAUCUAGGCUCUUAGUUGCUCCUCCUAGUUGUUGGAAUGACCUAUGUCCCUAGUUCCUUGUCUAGUUUGAGUGCUCAUCUGUUGCUGACUUGCUUCCCGUGGGUCAUGCUUUGGAGUCCGACUGUUUACUCAUGCUUGAUCCUGGUUUAUCUUUGCAUGCUAGACUUAUCUUGCUGUUGUUUGGCAAUCUCAUGUGUGGGUUCCUUAGUCUCCUUAGACUUAAGAACAUAAGCAGAACCAGCUUGACCAGCCUAAUGUCCUUUCUAAUCCAGCAGCUGGUUACUCAUGCAGUGGAAAGAAAACUAGAGCACCCACUCAUCCCCCACUUCAAGAUUAGAAGAGGAAGAAGAAGAGUUUGGAUUUGAUAUCCCACCUUUCACUCCCUUUAAGGAGUCUCAAAGCGGCUAACAUUCUCCUUUCCCUUCCUCCCCCACAGCAAACACUCUGUGAGGUGAGUGAGGCUGAGAGACUUCAAAGAAGUGUGACUGGCCCAAGGUCACCCAGCAGCUGCAUGUGGAGGAGCGGAGACGCGAACCUGGUUCCCCAGAUUACGAGACUACCGCUCUUAACCACUACACCACACUGGCUCUCCCCCAGAAGUCAAAAACAGACAGGGAACAGAAUGUGUUGCCUAGAUAAAAAUAUAAAAUAAAGCCUGCUGGAUCAGUCCAGUGGCCUGUCCAGUCCAACAUCCAGUUCUCAAAGUGACCAACAAGCAGAACCUCAGUUGCCAUAUUCAGAAAGAGAAGCUUUUUCUUUUCUUUUCUUUUCUUUUUGCAAAAUUGCAAAGAAAAUAUGUUUUUGAGGCAACCCUACCGGAGCAGUCCCUCUCCCCUCUUGUGAUUCCUAGUAACUAGUAUUCAUGUUGUCUGACAGUGGAGGAAGAACCUAGAACAUGGGUAGGCAGGCUAAGGCUAGGGGGCCGGAUCUGGCCCAAUCGCCUUCUAAAUCCGGCCCGCAGACGGUCUGGGAAUCAGCGUGUUUUUACAUGAGUAGAAUAUGUGCUUUUAUUUAAAAUGCAUCUCUGAGUUAUUUGUGGGGCAUAGGAAUUCGUUCAUCCCCCCCAAAUAUAGUCUGGCCCCCCACAAGGUCUGAGGGACAGUGAACCGGCCCCCUGCUGAACAAGAUUGCUGAUCGCUAACCUAGUAGGCAUUGCUAGCCUUAUCGUCUGUGAAUUUGUCUGUCUCUUUUGUCUAAACCAUCCAAAUUGCUGGCCAUUGGUGGCCUCAUGUGGAAGCAAGUUCCAUAGUUCAUCUAUGCACUCUACGGAAAAAGUGUUUUACUUUCUUGUAUUUUCUCUAGAGUCUUGAUGCAUAGCCAAAGACUACACCUGUGGGCAUAUUACACAUUCCAGUACUGGGGGGGACAAAUGCAUGAGAGUGAAGGGAGGUGUCGGAAUCAAGUGUAGGAGCCAAGAAGU
rnacentral:lncRNA from 1 species